AUAGCCCUCUCCAUGCUGCAAGAAAAAAACUUCUUAUGCCAGUUAAUACCCACCAUCUAGGUUUUUAACUGCAGACUAAACUCCCCCAACUUGGACUUGGAAUCCUUCACACAGUAGGCUUAGUAAACCAAAUACCAUUUGACUUUUUUGUGUUCAGUAGACUAAUUUAAAUAACAGUCGGUGUCUUGACAGUGAUUGUGCAUAAAUGAUAUUGUGUAAUCCCAGUAGCACACUUUAAUCAUGCAUAGAGAAUUUGUUUUGGCUUGUGUUCAGGUUCAUUCAAUGAUUGCAUAAUUCUUCCUCCAUUCUGCUGUUUAACUCCAUUAAACAGUAACAUGUUGCUUCUUCCACUGCAGCUUUUACUAUUUUCAACAGGCCUCUUUGGACUUUAGCUCAGGUCGACCUCAUUAGAAGAGAACUGUGCAGUUUUUAAAAUAUCUAAAGUGCACUCAGCUAUAAUGUAUUGACCAAAAGCACAAAAUUUGACCUAUUUUGUUAUCUUAGACACCAAGAACAUUGAGGUCAGCUGAGGUCAACCCCUGAUCAUUGGUAUCAGGACUCUGUGGUUGUAGAGAAUCAUCCUAUGACUCGAGAGGAAAAUGCUCAACAUGACUCCAACCCAUGAAUGCCAGAUUGCCCGCAGACCACUGACGAUUUCACUGCGGGUCACUUUUUGUGACUCAUGAGUCACUGGAAGGGCAGAAAACAGCUCCAUCUACUGUGUCAGGGAAACCAGCUUCCUUCAGGACGCCCUCACCUCCCGUACCUGCAACACACCUCGCUGCAGUUAUCCACCCAUCCUCCUCAUCCUCAUCAUUACCAUCAUCAGUACAGGAUUUCCUUUAUUUGGAGACUUCUGAGAGGCAGUGAGCGGCAGUAAGGACCCACUGAGCGCUAAUCAGAGUUCCUCCACAGAAAUGGAUCCCUGUACUGGUAGAAAGAGACAAAAAGAGACCGGUGGAUCAACCUCCCUUUGAGAGCUGCAACAAUUUUACAAGUCUGGAUUUCAAUAAAGAGUUUUAGUGUCUCCUGAUUGUUCUUCACCUUCACUAAAAAGUACAAUUCUUGAAGAAAAACAUAAUCAUUGUAAUUAGUCUUAAUAGCAAAAUGCAGAUCAUUUUUAAUGUGAUCUUUUCACUAUUCUCUGUAAUGUUGGUACAUAAUCCUGACUUUAAUCUUGACACUGAUAAUAAAAGAGAGUCAUACUCAGUGGUAA